UGGAAAGUUUUUCGGUGCAGGAUGUGCCCGCGGCCUAUCAGCUUGUUGGUGGGGUAAUGGCCUACCAAGGCGACGACGGGUAGCCGGCCUGAGAGGGUGAUCGGCCACACUGGGACUGAGACACGGCCCAGACUCCUACGGGAGGCAGCAGUGGGGAAUAUUGCACAAUGGGCGCAAGCCUGAUGCAGCGACGCCGCGUGGGGGAUGACGGUCUUCGGAUUGUAAACCCCUUUCAGUAGGGACGAAGCGCAAGUGACGGUACCUGCAGAAGAAGCACCGGCCAACUACGUGC
rnacentral:rRNA from 1 species